UACGAAGGGGGCUAGCGUUGUUCGGAAUUACUGGGCGUAAAGCGCGCGCAGGCGGCCUUUCAAGUCAGGGGUGAGAGCCCGGAGCUCAACUCCGGAAUUGCCUUUGAAACUGUCAGGCUCGAGUACGGGAGAGGUGAGUGGAAUUCCCAGUGUAGAGGUGAAAUUCGUAGAUAUUGGGAAGAACACCGGUGGCGAAGGCGGCUCACUGGCCCGUUUCUGACGCUCAGGCGCGACAGCGUGGGGAUCAAACAGG
rnacentral:rRNA from 1 species